AAGUGCCCUCACCUGGGAUGGAACCCACAACAUUGGUGCAUUAGGAUGACACUCCAACAACUGAGCUGCCUGGCCAGUGCAAGGGUUAUUUAUUUUAAAGUAUUGGUUCACAUGCUUUUGGAGGCUUCAGAAGUCCAAAAUCUGCAGGGAAGGCUGGCCAACUAAAGACCCAGGGAAAAGUUACAGAUCCAAUCCAAAGCAGUCAUCUGGCAGAAUUCCUUCUUGCUGGGGAAGAAAGAAGAGGAGAGUUAGUAUUUGUUUUAGUAAGACCUUCAACUGAUUAGAGGAGGCCCACCCACACUAUGGAGCGGAAUUUGCUUUGCUCUGAUUGAAAAGUCCACCAAUUUAAAUGGAAGUUGGUUUGAUGGUUGCUCUGUUUUAACGUAGAUCAUAGAUGAGUCUUUAGUGUAAGGCAGCCAGGCUGGGCACCCAUCUUCCAAAGGACACCUUCCAAGAGCAAUGGGACACCUGCUACCUGACUCAGACAUUCUUGGAGCACCUACUUUGGGCAGGGCUCUAUUGGGCCCUGGGAGAAGGGUGAUAAGCUGAGGACAGAGAUAACCAACAGUUUGAUUUUUAUCAAGAGGAGAUUAUAUACUUACUCCCAUUUGCUAUAUAUUGUAGUUCAGAUCCCAUUGUGAACUCCGGGAACUAUUCCAGCCCCUUUGUUGUAUCGGAAUGUUGUCAGUAAUAACCUAUUGAAUAAGGAGUAAAUGAUCAGGGCCCGAGAGUGUUAGUGAUUUUGCUGCAAUUCUGGGGGGUUUGAGGUAGGUUCCUUCUUUCCGUUAAAUGGAUGCAUGUUGUCUUUGCAUCAGUUCACUCUUGCUACUCUUCUGCUUAGAAAUCUUCUGGCUGUUAACCUGGUCUUUGGCUGGAGGUUAUUAUUUUAUAUUUCACUUACCUUUGGAGCAUAGUGUCCUUAAGAUGGCAGUGGUCAGGCCAAGAGAGGAUAUUCUCUCCCUGGAGGAAAAAGGACUGUCUGGCUGGGGUUGGGGAAAACGUUCAGUUCUGAUACUGUUGUUUCUAUUUACUCGGGUGAUUAUUUUUAAAUGUAGGUUAUGACAAGGAAAUUCUAAUAGUCCAAAUGGCCAGCUGAUCCCAAGGGGGACCUAAUACAUGAGCAUUUGCUGGACUGUAGAAAUGGAAUUUUCAAACACAGAUAACCCAACAACAAAUACCUUCCUAAGCAUAUUUGGUCUCUUUUGGAUUGUAUUUAUUUAUUUUUUUGUAAAUACCUCACACCAGGUCUGUGCAGCACUGGAAAGAGCAGUGACUUGUGAGCCAUACUCUGUACUCAUAAUUUUCUUUCUUUUUUU